rnacentral:lncRNA from 1 species
AUCCGCCUGUCUCUGCCUCCCCCACUGGAAGCUUCCUAAAUCAGAUUCUUCGAACCUGCUCAAAGUUGCCUUGGGAGCCUCACCCCUCUUUUCAGAUGUGGAAGCCCACUAACCGGUUGCAGGCAGAUGGUCCCACGUUUUCUUUUCCCACGUCUGGGUUUGCUGCUUUGGGCUGCUCUUGGCGGUGCAUACUAGAUGGCUGUGGAUUGCUGCAGUUUACCAUUGGGAAGUUGCCUCUGGUCCUCUUCCUAAGAGAAGAAGAGGAUGAGUCAAAUAUGCCUAUAUCCAGAUUUCAAAGAGAAAGAGUCGAUCUGAUAUGUCAAAGUUAAGUUGGUGGCACCCGCCAUGUCCACUCAGCAUACACAAAACCAGAAGGAUGCUUAGAUCUGGGAGGUUGAAGAGACUAUUCUAUAGCCUCUGUAAUGAAAGGCUUACAUUCUUAAAAAUACCCAAGGAAGCCAGGCAUGGUGGUGUGUGCCUACAGAUCCAGCAUGCAGAAGGAUUGGGGGUUCAAAGCUGACCUCAGCUACACGGGAGACUUGAGGCCAUCCUAGGGCACAUGAGACCCUUGUCUCCAAAAUGAAGUGUUAGCAGCAUGACCUACUAUGUAACAGUGUUAAUUUGUAAUAGCUCCCUAGUAAAUUCCUGAAAGCAUACACUGGGUCACUUGUAGACAGUAUUGAAGAAAAAGAAAACAAUGUUACUAUUUUUUUAAAUGCUACUCUUGGUAUGUUGGCCACUUCUCUAUUACUGUUAUAAAAUAUCACAACCAGUGUAACUUAAAAAAAGAAAGUGUUUAACUGGGCUUAUGGUUUCCAGAAGGUUAGUGUCCAUGAUGUCUGAGUAAAGGUGUGGGAGCUGAGACAGCUCACUGAACAUCAAGGAACUUCUGAAACCCCAGAGUCUGCCAGCCAUCGACACACCUGAUGCUUCCCAAACAGUUCCACCAACUGGGAGCCAAGGAUUCAACAGCCCCGGGAAAGACCAAAGCACACACACAAAUCCCGGCACUCAGAAGGCAAGGGCUGGCCUCGAACUCAUGGAAGUCUACUCCAUGUACUCAGCUCUGCCUUCCCAGUGUGUCACAUCUUGAUCUACAAGAGGCACUAGGAGUGCUAGGUGGCUUUUGGAACUACAACGUUUGUCCAUAGUGACACAUCUCCUCCAACAAGGCCACUCCUAAUCUUCCCAAGUUCCUCCACCAACUGGGGACCAAGUAUUCAAACAUGAGCCUAUGGGGCCCGUUCUCCUUCAAACCAACACACCUACUGAAAAGAAAGGCCCAUUUUUAAAUGCAGUGUGAACAUUGCGAUGUCAAGCGGUAGGUAUUAAUGACAUUCUGUUCUUCAUGCUAAACUUUUAGAGCUAAUUGCAAAGUACAUUAACUUGAUGUUACUCAGAGCAAUAUAGUUUUUGAUGCUGAGCCAAAGUGGGCGGUGGAAAGCUUUGCCCUGUGCAGGGUGCCCCUGGGCUACAGCAUGGCACAUGGCAUGUCGUGGCUAUGAUGAAACGCAGGUGGGACUCGGCUAUAAGUAGAGGAAGAGUGGGGUGUGUGUGUGGGGUGUUGGGAAGGGGGAAGCAGAGGACUGUGGGCAUUUCAUCUAGGCUCCACCCCAUGGUUACCUAGCAACAGCAGGGGUGGCUAGAGUUCUGGUACUAGUAUUUGUUUCUAGUAAAUUGACUUUGCCUCUAAUUCCCAGAGGCCUGGGAUGCUAAUGAGAGGAUGGCUGGCCAUUAAUUAGACUCCUAGUGCUUGGACCACACCCAAUCAGUCUCUGCCUGAUACAUCACAAGGGCAAAGCCAUUUCACUGGGACUUGGGGUUAGGUCGAGUUGAAACGGGCUGGCAUUUCAAGUGUAUAAGACUGGAUUUCAGUAUCUUCCCUUGCGGUGUCACAAAGAUGGCCGAUUCUAGUGUGCAUCAAGUCGAUAGAACCAGUACACUAUGGCUUUCCCAUACCCUUGAUAAGCAGUACAGUUCAACAAUACAAAACAGAAAGGUCAGGCUCGCAGUUAGAACUGGUUUGAAAACUGGCUCUGCACUUACAUGUGAAGGGAUGAGGGACUCUACAGGUCAGUCUGUCUGUGUGGACACUAAGAUGAGAUUAAAUGUCUAAAAAUAUCUGCCAACAUGUUGGAUAUGCAUCGAACUUUCUCCCAGCUCCCUCAUCUUCUCCCUAAAUAUUUAUGAGCCUCCUUGAAGGCUAAAGCACAGGGUUGACCAUCACGCAUGCGCUCAGUGUUAGUUUCAAUCCAGAAUACCAGCAAAACAACAGACUGUCACAAACCUGGAAAGCCAGUGUCAGCGUGGGUUGUCACCUCUGUUUCUAUGAGGCCUCUUAGUUGGCCCGUCCUGCACAUGCCUAUGUCCCCUACACAAUGAUCAUCAGCCUUGGCCGCUGAAGAUUCAUUCUUUCUUUGGUUUGCAGAAGGAUAUUGUCUUAGGGUUCUCUAGAGGACAGAACUUACAGAAUGUAUUUUUUUUUUGAACCUGGUUCCUCUGCAAGAACAGCAGGUCCUCUUAACUGCUGACCCCUACUUAUUUUUUUUUAAUUAUGUGUUUGUGGAGGUGAGGGAAAGAAUGUGCAUUUGACUGCAGUACCCACAGUGUAUGUGUG